rnacentral:lncRNA from 1 species
CUGAGAUCAGGACAUCUCGCACUGAUGAAUAUCUCUUCAUUGCCUCUGUGCACUUCCCCAUUGACUGACCGCUGUGCCCGGCCUUACACCCGUGCUGCACACACGCCGCCCUUUUGUUCUGUUUGUGCUGAGUAUAAUGGAACCUGCGUCCUUGCCUGAGAUCUCAAAGGCUUUCUGUAAUUAAACGCUUAAGAGGUAGCCAUGGUAUGGAGGACAGUCUGACUAACCCUAUGUGACCCUUCCAACCUGGAUGGACCUUCAUCUAUCAAGUUCCACAUCCUUGUACCUUGUAUAAAGACACCUUGGAGGGUGAGAGGCCCUGAUCAACACCUUGGUCACUGCACAAGUACAGAGGAAGGAUCAGUCACAGACAGGAACCACUCUUCUUCUUUAUGAAAAAAGAAACACAUCUGGCUUCAAAACUGGGCAACACUACCAAAAAACCAAACCACCCAACCAGGAAAGGAGAAGUGGAAAUUUGCGGCACUCUAGGGGCUGAGGCUGAAUACUACCUGAGCUGAUGCGCUCAUCAUUUUUUGUACAACAGUUUCCCACUUCAGGUUUGCUCAACUUUCUUGAUUUUGGUACUAAAUACCAAAUUUGAUGCACUGGCCCUUCAAAGAUCUCUGAAGUGGGGCUAUUUGUUUCAGUAGGACCAGAAAUUUAUUUAGAUUUCUUUCCCCUUAGGAGGUAUCGACUCUAUUUUUUUAUUGAUUUCCAUUGAUUUUUUUCUUUUUACCAGAAUGAUUUUUGUGAUGCUUUUCCUCAAAUAUCCCAGAUUGUAAGCCAUCCCACUUAUGUCCUAUAUAGUCCUAAUAAGUAUAUAGCAGACUUAAAAAGCUUACACGAGUGUCAUUAUUUCAGUGCAACCUACUCAUUCUUCGGAAUUAGAAAAUGAGAAGAAUCUCCAGCAUGAAACAUUUACUCAUCAAGAGAUUUCCAAUUCUUUGUUCUAUUUUCAAGAGGAUCGCCAAAUGGAGAAGUUAAUAGUAUAGAUUUACACCUGAACUGAAUACUGGAUGUCCCCAAAGGGCAAACAUUAAAGCAUUAAACCUGCUCAAGGGGAAAUGGCCAUAAACUGAAGCUUAGGAUGUUCCACAGCAUAUGUGAAAGAACUUCUUCACGGUGAGGGUGACGGAGCACUGGACCAGGCUGCCCAGGGAGGUGGUGGAUUCUCCUUCUCUGGAGUUAUUCAAGGCCCACCUGGAUGCCUAGCUGUGCAGCCUGCUGUAGGGAGCCUGCUUUGCAGAGGGGUUGGACUCAAUGAUCUCUAGAGGUCCCUUCCAAUUCUGUGAUUUCACUUUUGCUUCCUAAUUUCCUAAUUUCCUAAUUCACAGACUGAUAAUUUGAACUAUGAACUUCUCAACAUAAACGCAUACAUUGAAGGAGACAGCAUGGGGAAAGUGAGGGUUUUUCCCUUGGAUGUAUGUAUUUUCACAACCUACUUUAACUGAAUGGUCGUG